rnacentral:rRNA from 1 species
CUAUAUAAGCUGUUGUUUGAAGAUGAGUCCGCGCACCAUUAGCUAGCUGGUGGGGUAAUGGCCUACCAGGGCAACGAUGGUUAGCUGGUCUGAGAGGAUGAUCAGCCACACUGGAACUGACACACGGUCCAGACUCCUACGGGAGGCAGCAGUGAGGAAUUUUGCGCAAUGGGGGCAACCCUGACGCAGCAACGCCGCGUGAGUGAAGAAGGCCUUUGGGUCGUAAAGCUCUGUCAACAGGGAAGAAAUUAUCUUGUAUUAAUAGUAUUUGAUAUUGACGGUACCUGUGGAGGAAGCAUCGGCUAACUCCGUGCCAGCAGCCGCGGUAAUACGGGGGAUGCAAGCGUUAUUCGGAAUCAUUGGGCGUAAAGGGCACGCAGGCGGUCUUGUCAGUCAGAUGUGAAAGCCCGGGGCUCAACCCCGGACGUGCAUUUGAAACAGCAAGACUUGAGUACGGUAGAGGAAAGCGGAAUUCCUGGUGUAGAGGUGAAAUUCAUAGAUAUCAGGAGGAACACCGGUGGCGAAGGCGGCUUUCUGGACCGAAACUGACGCUGAGGUGCGAAGGCGUGGGUAGCGAACAGGAUUAGAUACCCUGGUAGUCCACGCAGUAAACGUUGUACACUAGGUGUAGCGGGUAUUGACCCCUGCUGUGCCGCAGCUAACGCAUUAAGUGUACCGCCUGGGGAGUACGGUCGCAAGACUAAAACUCAAAGAAAUUGACGGGGGCCCGCACAAGCGGUGGAGCAUGUGGUUUAAUUCGACGCAACGCGAAGAACCUUACCCAGACUUGACAUCUUGAGAAUCUUUCAGAAAUGAAGGAGUGCCUUCGGGAGCUCAAAGACAGGUGCUGCAUGGCUGUCGUCAGCUCGUGUCGUGAGAUGUUUGGUUAAGUCCAGCAACGAGCGCAACCCUUAUCUUCAGUUGCCAGCACGUUAUGGUGGGAACUCUGAAGAGACUGCCCCGGUUGACGGGGAGGAAGGUGGGGAUGACGUCAAGUCCUCAUGGCCCUUAUGUCUGGGGCUACACACGUGCUACAAUGGUAUGUACAAAGGGCAGCAAGCCUGCGAGGGCAAGCCAAUCCCUAAAACAUAUCCCAGUCCGGAUUGGAGUCUGCAACUCGACUCCAUGAAGUUGGAAUCGCUAGUAAUCGUGGAUCAGCAUGCCACGGUGAAUACGUUCCCGGGCCUUGUACACACCGCCCGUCACACCAUGAGAGUUGAUUGUACCCGACGUUACUGGGCUAACC